rnacentral:rRNA from 1 species
UACGGAGGGUGCAAGCGUUAUCCGGACUCACUGGGUUUAAAGGGUGCGUAGGUGGGCAGGUAAGUCAGUGGUGAAAUCCCCGAGCUUAACUUGGGAACUGCCGUUGAUACUAUCUGUCUUGAAUAUCGCGGAGGUAAGCGGAAUAUGUCAUGUAGCGGUGAAAUGCUUAGAUAUGACAUAGAACACCGAUUGCGAAGGCAGCUUACUACACGAUCAUUGACACUGAGGCACGAAAGCGUGGGGAGCAAACAGG